rnacentral:lncRNA from 1 species
GUGAAAUGCAAAUAACUUGCUAUGCAGGAAAUGGUGAAGAGCAGAUGGGAGAGUAACAGGCACAUAUUGUAGGGCAUUAUUGUUGGUUCUUCCUUCUUCCUCCGCCUUUUUUUGUAGUAUUGGGGAUUGAACCCCUGAGCUACAUACCCAGUCUACUUUUUUUUAAACAACUGCCAACCCCCACCCCAAUUUAAUCUGUCCAUUUGAGGCCAUAUCUGCAUGACUAUCCUUAUUCACACCUAUACUGAGAAACUCCCAACAUUUCAAGUGACUCUGACAAGUGCCAAUUAAUACUAUAGUAUCCAGAGUGUUUGAAAUCAGGUCUGAUCUGAAAAAUCUGAAUGAACAGUCAGCACUGGGUUUAUGUAACACUUUGUACUUAAUUCUUCAAAAAUGUUGGUAAUGGAACAAGAUAGAGAUGUUAGAAAUGUUAAUUUAAUUCCACUAGCCAAAAGUCUAUAAGCAAAAAUUUCUUAACUGUUACUAGGUAUUCAAACCUUACAAUAUAACUACUCUACACAGUGAUCAAACAUUUACAGGCUUCAGGCAUGGGCCUUCUUUCAGGGACCUUCAGCAGUUCUGCCAGUCUUUACAGGUGGCAGCAGCUGGAAGACAUCCUCAGGUUUGAGAUAAUUCAGGAGAAAGUGCAAGGCCUGGCCCACCAGGCUACAUUUACUUGCUUUUCUUCUUUUGCUUAAUGUGUGUGUGUGUGUGUGUGUAAGGGGGCAGUCAGGCAAGGUGAGUUGGCAAUCAUUCAUCAUCAGGAAGAACAAAUAAAAGGAAUGAGUAUAUAUGUAGAUGAG